rnacentral:sRNA from 1 species
AAAAAACGACAUAGAUUCUUUAUUUUUGUUGAACGGUUUAGAUUGAAGGGAAUUAAUUUUAUUGAACGGUUUAGAUUGAAUCGGAUCAUAUAAAGUUUAGGAGAUUGUUAAGACCAAAUUACUCUUAAUGAUUUUGAAUAGUGAAGAACAAAAUCCAAAAUUGAAAUCAAAAUUGAGGCCAAAUUAGACAAAAUUUUAAUUUGUACUUCCUUUUUAAUAAUAAAGGGAUUAGAUUGAAAUUGUUAAAAUUUCAAUAUAGUAUACAAUUUUUCUGAUUAGAUUGAAAUUGUAAAUUGACUAGAAGUAUC